UUAAGUUAGAAAGGGCGCACGGUGGAUGCCUUGACACUAGGAGUCGAUGAAGGACGGGACUAACGCCGAUAUGCUUCGGGGAGCUGUAAGUAAGCUUUGAUCCGAAGAUUUCCGAAUGGGGAAACCCACCAUACGUAAUGGUAUGGUAUCCUUAUCUGAAUACAUAGGGUAAGGAAGACAGACCCAGGGAACUGAAACAUCUAAGUACCUGGAGGAAGAGAAAGCAAAUGCGAUUUCCUGAGUAGCGGCGAGCGAAACGGAACAUAGCCCAAACCAAGAGGCUUGCCUCUUGGGGUUGUAGGACAUUCUAUACGGAGUUACAAAGGAACGAGGUAGACGAAGCGACCUGGAAAGGUCCGUCGUAGAGGGUAACAACCCCGUAGUCGAAACUUCGUUCUCUCUUGAAUGUAUCCUGAGUACGGCGGAACACGUGAAAUUCCGUCGGAAUCUGGGAGGACCAUCUCCCAAGGCUAAAUACUCCCUAGUGAUCGAUAGUGAACCAGUACCGUGAGGGAAAGGUGAAAAGCACCCCGGAAGGGGAGUGAAAGAGAUCCUGAAACCGUGUGCCUACAAAUAGUCAGAGCCCGUUAACGGGUGAUGGCGUGCCUUUUGUAGAAUGAACCGGCGAGUUACGAUCCCGUGCGAGGUUAAGCUGAAGAGGCGGAGCCGCAGCGAAAGCGAGUCUGAAUAGGGCGUUUAGUACGUGGUCGUAGACCCGAAACCAGGUGAUCUACCCAUGUCCAGGGUGAAGUUCAGGUAACACUGAAUGGAGGCCCGAACCCACGCACGUUGAAAAGUGCGGGGAUGAGGUGUGGGUAGCGGAGAAAUUCCAAUCGAACCUGGAGAUAGCUGGUUCUCCCCGAAAUAGCUUUAGGGCUAGCCUUAAGUGUAAGAGUCUUGGAGGUAGAGCACUGAUUGGACUAGGGGUCCUCAUCGGAUUACCGAAUUCAGUCAAACUCCGAAUGCCAAUGACUUAUCCUUAGGAGUCAGACUGCGAGUGAUAAGAUCCGUAGUCAAAAGGGAAACAGCCCAGACCGCCAGCUAAGGUCCCAAAGUGUGUAUUAAGUGGAAAAGGAUGUGGAGUUGCUUAGACAACUAGGAUGUUGGCUUAGAAGCAGCCACCAUUUAAAGAGUGCGUAAUAGCUCACUAGUCGAGUGACUCUGCGCCGAAAAUGUACCGGGGCUAAAUACACCACCGAAGCUGCGGAUUGAUACCAAUGGUAUCAGUGGUAGGGGAGCGUUCUAAGGACAGUGAAGUCAGACCGUAAGGACUGGUGGAGUGCUUAGAAGUGAGAAUGCCGGUAUGAGUAGCGAAAGACGGGUGAGAAUCCCGUCCACCGAAUGCCUAAGGUUUCCUGAGGAAGGCUCGUCCGCUCAGGGUUAGUCAGGACCUAAGCCGAGGCCGACAGGCGUAGGCGAUGGACAACAGGUUGAUAUUCCUGUACCACCUCUUUAUCGUUUGAGCAAUGGAGGGACGCAGAAGGAUAGAAGAAGCGUGCGAUUGGUUGUGCACGUCCAAGCAGUUAGGCUGAUAAGUAGGCAAAUCCGCUUAUCNGCUGAGCUGUGAUGGGGAAGCUCCUUAUGGAGCGAAGUCUUUGAUUCCCCGCUGCCAAGAAAAGCUUCUAGCGAGAUAAAAGGUGCCUGUACCGCAAACCGACACAGGUAGGCGAGGAGAGAAUCCUAAGGUGUGCGAGAGAACUCUGGUUAAGGAACUCGGCAAAAUGACCCCGUAACUUCGGGAGAAGGGGUGCUUUCUUAACGGAAAGCCGCAGUGAAUAGGCCCAAGCGACUGUUUAGCAAAAACACAGCUCUCUGCGAAGCCGUAAGGCGAAGUAUAGGGGGUGACACCUGCCCGGUGCUGGAAGGUUAAGGAGAGGGGUUAGCGUAAGCGAAGCUCUGAACUGAAGCCCCAGUAAACGGCGGCCGUAACUAUAACGGUCCUAAGGUAGCGAAAUUCCUUGUCGGGUAAGUUCCGACCCGCACGAAAGGUGUAACGAUUUGGGCACUGUCUCAACCAGAGACUCGGUGAAAUUAUAGUACCUGUGAAGAUGCAGGUUACCCGCGACAGGACGGAAAGACCCCGUGGAGCUUUACUGUAGCCUGAUAUUGAAUUUUGGUACAGUUUGUACAGGAUAGGCGGGAGCCAUUGAAACCGGAGCGCUAGCUUCGGUGGAGGCGCUGGUGGGAUACCGCCCUGACUGUAUUGAAAUUCUAACCUACGGGUCUUAUCGACCCGGGAGACAGUGUCAGGUGGGCAGUUUGACUGGGGCGGUCGCCUCCUAAAGUGUAACGGAGGCGCCCAAAGGUUCCCUCAGAAUGGUUGGAAAUCAUUCGUAGAGUGCAAAGGCAUAAGGGAGCUUGACUGCGAGACCUACAAGUCGAGCAGGGACGAAAGUCGGGCUUAGUGAUCCGGUGGUUCCGCAUGGAAGGGCCAUCGCUCAACGGAUAAAAGCUACCCCGGGGAUAACAGGCUUAUCUCCCCCAAGAGUCCACAUCGACGGGGAGGUUUGGCACCUCGAUGUCGGCUCAUCGCAUCCUGGGGCUGUAGUCGGUCCCAAGGGUUGGGCUGUUCGCCCAUUAAAGCGGUACGCGAGCUGGGUUCAGAACGUCGUGAGACAGUUCGGUCCCUAUCCGUCGUGGGCGUAGGAAAUUUGAGAGGAGCUGUCCUUAGUACGAGAGGACCGGGAUGGACGCACCGCUGGUGUACCAGUUGUUCUGCCAAGGGCAUAGCUGGGUAGCUAUGUGCGGAAGGGAUAAGUGCUGAAAGCAUCUAAGCAUGAAGCCCCCCUCAAGAUGAGAUUUCCCAUAGCGUAAGCUAGUAAGAUCCCUGAAAGAUGAUCAGGUUGAUAGGUUCGAGGUGGAAGCAUGGUGACAUGUGGAGCUGACGAAUACUAAUAGAUCGAGGACUUAACCAU
rnacentral:rRNA from 1 species